UAUUAAUAUUCCCAUCCCAACAAGGCACAAAACGAUAUAAAAAGAGCAAUAAAUAAAAAAAAAACGGUCCACAUCAUCAUUGCAUCACCAUGGUGCUCAUCUCAUCAUUCAGAAGACAUUCACAGAUCACACAAACACAACACAGCUCACUCUUUCUUUCUCUUCCACUCACUUCACUUCACUUCACUUCACUCAUCUACCUCAUCACAACAUCAACAACAAACACACAUAACAGAAAAACAACACAAUCCAGAUCCAAAACAUCAUUCACAACUUCAACAAGGAAAAAACUACAUAAACAUAACCGUUAAUUUAUAACUAUAAUGCCUUCACUUCCCCAAAUUACCCUCACUUUUAUGUUCUAUUUACUUAUCUUAUCCCCAACACCAUCCUUUUCACUCAACAUCACCGCUCUUCUCUCCACUUUCCCUGACUUAUCCCAAUUCACCGCCCUUCUCUCCACCGCAACUCCCCUCACCGCCGAUCUCUCCCACCGCACUUCCAUCUCUCUCCUCGCCGUCCCUAACUCCUUCCUCUCCACCGACCCUAACCUCUCCCACCACCAACUCCCCCCCUCCGCACUCACCGACGUCCUGCGCUACCACGUCCUCCUCCAAUUCCUCUCAUGGUCCGACCUCCACUCCCUCCCUCCUUCCGGCAAACUCAUCACCACUCUCUUCCAAACAACCGGCCGCGCCACCAACAAUUUCGGCUUUGUCAACAUCACUCACGACCCUCACUCCAACCUCGUUUCGAUCCGUUCUCCCGCUCCUUAUUCCUCCUCAAACGCCACCGUCAUUGAAUUAGUCAAAACCCUACCGUACAACAUUACGAUCUUCGCCGUUAAUUCUCUCUUAAUCCCUUACGGUUUCGAUCUCAUGGCGUCGGAAACUCGUCCCAGCAUGCAUCUCAACAUCACGAAAACGUUAAUCGAUGCUCACAACUUCAAUGUCGCUGCUUCCAUGCUUUCAGCUUCCGGUGUAGUUAACGAAUUCGAAGCCGGUGAAGGUGGUUCUGGAAUCACAUUGUUUAUCCCCGUCGAUGAUGCUUUUGCCGAUCUACCUCCUUCAGUUUCGCUUCAGUCACUUCCGGCGGAUAAAAAAGCGGUUGUGCUCAAAGCUCAUGUUCUCCGUGCUUAUUACCCUCUCGGCUCACUUCAAUCCACCGCGAAUCCCUUGCAGCCAACGCUCGCCACAGAAGCCAUGGGAGCUGGAAGCUUCACUCUCAACAUUUCAACUUUUAACGGCUCAGUCGCCAUUAACACCGGAAUUGUUCAGGGGAUAAUUACUCAGACAGUUUUUGAUCAGAACCCUAUCGCAAUUUUCGGUGUUUCAAAGGUUUUAUUACCAAGAGAGAUUUUCGGGAAAAAUCCAAUUGUGUCUGUAAAGUCGCCUCCAGACAUUAUCGCUCCUCCUCCUUAUGACGAUGCUUCUUCACCGUCUGGAUUUGACGGGCAGCCAUCACAUCUUUCUUCACCACCUGGGCUUGGCGAAGAUGUUAGCUCGAAUGUCGCAGGUGUUGCACAAGUGGUUUUUAUGCUGAUAGGCGUGGCUCGAACCAUAGCCAAUUUCUUUUGGUGCAGGAGUUUGUUCAGUUUGCUUGAUUUACUUGGAUGGCCAUCAGUGGUUGUUGAAAAAAUUAUUCAAACUGAUUUAGACAGCUGGGAUCACCCUAUGUGCAACUUGCAAACUUCUGAGAGAAGUAGAAGGGUAAGAUGGAAAGGCUUAAAAUGAAAGAUUAUUAUUCAAUUAUGCCUCAAUAAUUGAAUGACUUGAUGUCAGGGUUUCAAGACCUUGUUACAACUCUUGCCUCUAGUCAUGCCUCCCCCCUUUAAAAGUGGACGCUUCAACAUCUUCACAAUAUCUUCGACCGAUCUUGAAAUCGUCGCUUCCAACUCGAGCAAAACUUUUGUUUUGAAAUAUAGCCCUUACAUUUAUUUGCGUCUUGAGCUCAAAUUUGCUGAACUCAAUCUUCCCUCUGUUGCCAAUCGACGGUGAACGGUACUUGAGCUUCACAAUCUUUCGAUUGUCUCUAUAAGGUAGGAGAUGAUGAAUUUCGUAUUUAAUAUCUUCGACGGAUGUGAAGUCGUUGAGUUUAAACGUUUGAUCGGGUGUAGAGUUGGAGAACAAGACAUUUGCGACAUACCAGUCAAUGUUUAUUUAUGACAUUUGAGAUA